AGAGUUUGAUCCUGGCUCAGGACGAACGCUGGCGGCGUGCCUAAUACAUGCAAGUCGAGCGGACCAACGAGGAGCUUGCUCCUUAGAGGUCAGCGGCGGACGGGUGAGUAACACGUGGGCAACCUGCCUGUAAGACUGGGAUAACUCCGGGAAACCGGGGCUAGUACCGGAUAACAUCUUCCUCUGCAUAGAGGAGGAUUGAAAGAUGGCUUCUCGCUAUCACUUACAGAUGGGCCCGCGGCGCAUUAGCUAGUUGGUGAGGUAAGGGCUCACCAAGGCGACGAUGCGUAGCCGACCUGAGAGGGUGAUCGGCCACACUGGGACUGAGACACGGCCCAGACUCCUACGGGAGGCAGCAGUAGGGAAUCUUCGGCAAUGGACGAAAGUCUGACCGAGCAACGCCGCGUGAGUGAGGAAGGCCUUCGGGUCGUAAAGCUCUGUUGUUAGGGAAGAACAAGUACCGUUCGAACAGGGCGGUACCUUGACGGUACCUAACCAGAAAGCCACGGCUAACUACGUGCCAGCAGCCGCGGUAAUACGUAGGUGACAAGCGUUGUCCGGAAUUAUUGGGCGUAAAGCGCGCGCAGGCGGUCUCUUAAGUCUGAUGUGAAAGCCCACGGCUCAACCGUGGAGGGUCAUUGGAAACUGGGGGACUUGAGUACUGGAGAGGAGAGUGGAAUUCCAUGUGUAGCGGUGAAAUGCGUAGAUAUAUGGAGGAACACCAGUGGCGAAGGCGGCUCUCUGGCCAGUAACUGACGCUGAGGCGCGAAAGCGUGGGGAGCAAACAGGAUUAGAUACCCUGGUAGUCCACGCCGUAAACGAUGAGUGCUAGGUGUUGGGGGGUUCCACUCUCAGUGCUGACGUUAACACAUUAAGCGCUCCGCCUGGGGAGUACGACCGCA
rnacentral:rRNA from 1 species